UACGUAGGGUGCAAGCGUUGUCCGGAAUUAUUGGGCGUAAAGAGCUCGUAGGCGGUUUGUCGCGUCGAAUGUGAAAACCCGGGGCUCACCCCGGGCCGGCAUUCGAUACGGGCAGACUAGAGUUCGGUAGGGGAGUCUGGAAUUCCUGGUGUAGCGGUGAAAUGCGCAGAUAUCAGGAGGAACACCGGUGGCGAAGGCGGGACUCUGGGCCGAUACUGACGCUGAGGAGCGAAAGCGUGGGGAGCAAACAGG
rnacentral:rRNA from 1 species